rnacentral:snoRNA from 1 species
AAGCGACACUCUGUGGCAGAUGACCAAAAUUGUCUGACACAAUAUGAGCUUGCUAUAGCAAGAAGAUCUAACCUAUUCCAGUGUUUUCUCCUCCAUGAGACCAAUUGUUAUAUAGAUUUAAAAAGU